AUAAAGUUUUAUUCUAGCUAAAGAAUUCUCUGUCAGAUUGCUUCACAUGCUAGUAAUUAGAGGAUAAAUACGAAAGUCUAAAGGAUUUCGGAAAAUAAAAUUAUUCGCAGUGUUUCGUAUUGGGUUUCAAGGAGAGUUGGAACCAGUAAUUUUGUGAACUCUGGCUAAAUUCGUGCCAGCCGCCGCGGUUAUACGAAGAGGGUAAGAGUAUUUGAUUGGUUUGUAAUUAGUUUUAAGAACAGGCAAGAAGUAAAGUUUUGUUGGGUGAAAUUUUAAAUAUUGGGUUAGCCUAUGGAUGAGUGAAUGAAGUUACGAAGCCUAGAAAAUAAACUGGGAUUAGAUACCCCACUAUUCUAGGAGUUAAAGUGAGGCCUGAGUAGUAGUAGUUAUGUGCUUGAAACUCAAAGAAUUUGGCGGUGUUUUAAUCUGGUCAGAGGAACCUGUCCUGUAAUCGAUAACCCCCGUUUAUUUAACUUAGCCUGGUUUUCAGCUUGUAUACCGCCGUCAAAAGAGCGAUUCGAGAGAAGUUGCUCAGGGUUUUUGAUUAAGAAAGAUGUCAGGUCAAGGUGCAGUUUAUGGUUAAGGAGUGAUGGGUUACAAUAAUUGUAAUUACACGGAAAUCCUUUUGCAAGAGAGGGUGGAAGGUGGAUUUGAAUGUAAUGGGGAAGAUUAAAUCUUCGUGAUACUGGCUCUAAAACAAGCACACAUCGCCCGUCGCUCUCGUUUUUAAGGCGAGAUAAGUCGUAACAUAGUAGAUGUACCGGAAGGUGCCUCUAGAAAGU
rnacentral:ncRNA from 1 species